UCUUAAUUAUGUAAGUGUUUGCCGACUGGCUCUGCACAGAGCCCUGAUCUCCAGAAUGACACUUGUGGAAAAAGAAACCUUAACCAGACUCAGGAGUCCAGAACAGCCUGACAUGGCCUUGAAGCAGUAGACACAGGUGGAGGAGACGAGAGAGGAGAGGAGAACACACACAGGACAC